CCUACGGGUGGCAGCAGUAGGGAAUAUUGCUCAAUGGGGGAAACCCUGAAGCAGCAACGCCGCGUGGAGGAUGAAGGUUUUCGGAUUGUAAACUCCUUUUGUUAGAGAAGAUAAUGACGGUAUCUAACGAAUAAGCACCGGCUAACUCCGUGCCAGCAGCCGCGGUAAUACGGAGGGUGCAAGCGUUACUCGGAAUCACUGGGCGUAAAGAGCGCGUAGGAGGGAUAGCAAGUCAGAUGUGAAAUCCUAGGGCUUAACCAUAGAACUGCAUUUGAAACUGUUAUUCUAGAGUAUGGGAGAGGUAGGUGGAAUGCUUGGUGUAGGGGUAAAAUCCGUAGAGAUCAAGAGGAAUACUCAUUGCGAAGGCGACCUGCUAGAACAUAACUGACGCUGAUGCGCGAAAGCGUGGGGAGCAAACAGGAUUAGAUACCCCAGUAGUC
rnacentral:rRNA from 1 species